rnacentral:rRNA from 1 species
UAGCAAUACGAUGGAAAGUCUAGUGGCGAACGGGUGCUUAACACGUGGGCAAUCUGUCUUAAAGUGGGGGAUAGCUCGGCGAAAGCCGAAUUAAUACCGCAUGUGAUUAGAGUGGACAUCCAUUCGAAAUUAAAGGUGGCGCAAGCUACCGCUUUUUGAGGAGCCCGCGGCCUAUCAGCUUGUUGGUGAGGUAACGGCUCACCAAGGCUUUGACGGGUAGCUGGUCUGAGAGGACGACCAGCCACACUGGGACUGAGACACGGCCCAGACACCUACGGGUGGCAGCAGUCGAGAAUUUUUCUCAAUGGGGGAAACCCUGAAGGAGCGACGCCGCGUGGAGGAUGAAGGUCUUCGGAUUGUAAACUCCUGUCAUUGGGGAACAAGUCGCUUACGUUAACUGCGUGAGCGUUGAUAGUACCCGAAGAGGAAGAGACGGCUAACUCUGUGCCAGCAGCCGCGGUAAUACAGAGGUCUCAAGCGUUGUUCGGAUUCAUUGGGCGUAAAGGGUGCGUAGGCGGCGCGGUAAGUCGGGUGUGAAAUCUUGGAGCUUAACUCCGAAACUGCAUUCGAUACUGCCGUGCUUGAGGACUGGAGAGGAGACUGGAAUUCACGGUGUAGCA